GAUGAACGCUGGCGGCGUGCCUAAUACAUGCAAGUCGAGCGAACAGACGAGGAGCUUGCUCCUCUGACGUUAGCGGCGGACGGGUGAGUAACACGUGGAUAACCCACCUAUAAGACUGGGAUAACUUCGGGAAACCGGAGCUAAUACCGGAUAAUAUAUUGAACCGCAUGGUUCAAUAGUGAAAGACGGUUUUGCUGUCACUUAUAGAUGGAUCUGCGCCGCAUUAGAUAGUUGGUAAGGUAACGGCUUACAAAGGCAACGAUGCGUAGACGACGUGAGAGGGUGAUAGGCCACACUGGAACUGAGACACGGUCCAGACUCCUACGGGAGGCAGCAGUAGGGAAUCUUCCGCAAUAGGCGGAAGCCUGACGGAGCGACGCCGCGUGAGUGAUGAAGGUCUUCGGAUCGUAAAACUCUGUUAUUAGGGGAGAACAAAUGUGUAAGUAACUAUACACGUCUUGACGGUAACUAAUCAGAAAGCCACGGCUAACUACGUG
rnacentral:rRNA from 1 species